AAAAAAAAUUGCAAUUCCAAAAGCAAAGAAAGAAGCAAAUAUAGAUCAGUGAAUAGACAUUGACAUAGGUGAUGCUGCUCUAUCUGAAACUAAUAUCCAGUAAACAAUGCAUUAAAUGGAAUAUAAGAUAUUUAUUUUUGUAGUCUACUGACUCCAUAUCUUAUUGCUGCAGGAGUCAUAGUAUUAAAAUGAGUAAACAAAAGUAUUUCACGUGGAAAAAGACAGCUUCAACAUAACUAUUGACUAAUCAACA
rnacentral:misc_RNA from 1 species